ACUGAACAAUUUAAUAGCUUGGUGUAUUUGUGGUAAGGGGUAGUAAAGGGAAAGCAUUAUGUUGUCUGCCUUUUCCCCAAAGAGAUCUGCUCUUGCCCAUCAUCCAGGACUUGCUACCAUAUUAUAGCUGCCAAAAAAUCUAUUGGCAUGCCCCAGAACUAGGGAAGCCUUGCCGGUUGCAGCUCACACAGUUGAAGCGAAAUAAAAGGCAGAAGAGUAGAUCAGGAAGAAAGUUCUCCAGACUGAAGGAAAAGAUAACUGUAGUUCCAGCAUCUGAUUCAGUGCAGGCUGCGGAGGAGCUGGACUCCUUAAAAACAGAUCACUGACUGACUAUGAGAGACCUGGAAAGCGCUCAACCUCAGAUGACCUCCACUCCAAAAAGUAGGAAAGAGGAUUUGACGUGACCAAUAUUGAUUCUUUUGAUAUAAUAUUCUCAACGCAAAGUGAGAAGUGUUUGGGCAAAUCAAUGAUUUCUACAUCAGUUCCCCCAUGGCACAACUGUACCUUCAACACACUCAGUCUACAAACUGAGGAACUUGUUGCCAACAUCUGUGUUUAUGGUUAUGACAUAGACACACUGAAAGGAUCGAACUGGAUAAAUGACCGCAUAAUAGAUGCAUUUCUUGCCUCCAGGGUGAUCAUGACCAAAGAGCUAGGUCAUGAUGGAACAAUUUUCCCAUUUAGUUGCCUCUUCAUUCAGGCCCUCAUGUGUCAAAUAUUGUCAGUGAAAGCCCUGAAGUCCUGUUUGAAAUUUGGAGUGCUAAAGAAAGUUGUUUGGAUUAUUCCAGUAAAUGACAGUGGAGUCCACUGCAUACUGCUAGUAAUCAUUUUUAAAAGGAAGACCAUGCUCUACCUAGAUUCCAACCAUGGAUUGAACCACUCUGUGAUUGAUGCAAUAACAUCCUUCUUAGCAUGUCUGUAUAAGAUGGAUUCAGACUGUCCCUAGAGUUUUGUGGACUGGUCAUUUUUUGCACCAACUGAUAUAACCAGGCAAGGUAAUUCCAGUGACUGCGGUCCUUUCACAUGUACCAUUGCACAUCUGAUUGCUUCUGCUGCCCAAUUACAGUACACACAAAAGGAUAUGACCGCCAUUAGACCCUGGAUUGCAAAAGAAAUAAUACAUUACACUGGGAAAUCCUAUCUUGAAGGACAAGAAAAAUAUAUUCCAAUUGAAAUUGCCACUCCUCUUCCCACAAAGAGACAAAGCUUGAAAGAGAGUCACAUUACUGGGUCUAGAUCAUGCCCAGAGGGAUGGAAGGAUACACUAACCUAUUGCUCAGAUCUUUUACCUACCUUGUUUGAAGGCAGCUGGUCACUAUGUUUUUUGAAGGAAGGGUUCAGGAGGCCCAGUGGUGAGUGUGACCAAUCUAUGGUUUACUGUGAAGGAAGCUGCAAGGACUGCUUUUGCAUAGGCAUUGAUUCAAAAGAUCUCCCAGAGGUUUUUGUGUGUCCAGAUUGUCAAUCCACUGUGGCCAAAGAGAUUUUGGAACUGCGAACUGUCAUAUUCCACAGGUCUCCAUAUGAUGAGCAUGUGGACAGACAGAGGAGAAGGCUGCAUGAGGCUGAUAGUUAAUUGCAGGAUGACCUUUCUUUCUGCAAAAGAAAGUUGUGCAUAUUUGAUCUUUGUGACUGUUCAGUAAAUGUUUAAAUUAUAGUUUUUUAAUAUCGAACCCAAGCUCUGAUUUUCUCAGUUCUCCCUUCACCUGUGUGUAUCCUGCUUGUUCUAUCCAUUUCUCCUUUCUCUUGGCAUAAAUGUAUAUAAAAUUAUACAGGAAAAUGUUAAAUGAUCAGCUUUAAUUCAGUGUCUCUGUCUCUACCUUUCUGUGCAAUUGCUCAGAAAUGUCACUAAGAAGGCUCUAUAUAUUGGCAUGGUCUCUUUUAUUGGAAUAAUUUCCCAAAGUUAAUUUUAAACGGGUACAUAAGACCAGUGGGCCAGAAUUUUUGUCCCAAUAAUAUUUUUUUCCUGUGGCCAUCACCAAAUCUUCAUGCAGUUAACUCCACAGUUUAAUCUCUCAUGGAAUAAAGUAGUUCUUCCUUUCA